CUACGGGCGGCACCAGUGAGGAAUAUUGCACAAUGGGGGGAACCCUGAUGCAGCAACGCCGCGUGGAGGAUGACGCAUUUCGGUGUGUAAACUCCUUUUAUAUGUCAAGAAAAUGACGGUAGCAUAUGAAUAAGCACUGGCUAACUCCGUGCCAGCAGCCGCGGUAAUACGGAGGGUGCAAGCGUUACUCGGAAUCACUGGGCGUAAAGGACGCGUAGGCGGGUUGGAAAGUCAGGUGUGAAAUCCUACAGCUUAACUGUAGAACCGCACUUGAAACUUCUAAUCUAGAGUAUGGGAGGGGGAGAUGGAAUUAGUGGUGUAGGGGUAAAAUCCGUAGAUAUCACUAGGAAUACCUAAAGCGAAGGCGAUCUCCUGGAACAUUACUGACGCUAAGGCGUGAAAGCGUGGGGAGCAAACAGGAUUAGAUACCCGAGUAGUC
rnacentral:rRNA from 1 species